rnacentral:rRNA from 1 species
CCUACGGGAGGCAGCAGUGAGGAAUAUUGGUCAAUGGACGAGAGUCUGAACCAGCCAAGUAGCGUGAAGGAUGACUGCCCUAUGGGUUGUAAACUUCUUUUAUAUGGGAAUAAAACGUUCCACGUGUGGGAUUUUGUAUGUACCAUAUGAAUAAGGAUCGGCUAACUCCGUGCCAGCAGCCACGGUAAUACGGAGGAUCCGAGCGUUAUCCGGAUUUAUUGGGUUUAAAGGGAGCGUAGGUGGAUUGUUAAGUCAGUUGUGAAAGUUUGCGGCUCAACCGUAAAAUUGCAGUUGAAACUGGCAGUCUUGAGUACAGUAGAGGUGGGCGGAAUUCGUGGUGUAGCGGUGAAAUGCUUAGAUAUCACGAAGAACUCCGAUUGCGAAGGCAGUUCACUGGACUGCAACUGACACUGAGGCUCGAAAGUGUGGGUAUCAAACAGGAUUAGAUACCCUUGUAGUC